CUCAUGGGCAGCAGAGUACCCCAAGUGUCUUCAAGGCAAACGAACAACCUCAUGAAUUGGUGAGCAAUCAGUUCGUCAAGAGGGUUUAUUUUGUGCAAAAUAAGGAAGCAGAGAUUUUACCAGACGCCAAGAGGUGCCAGGCAUGCUUGCACUGUUACUGCAAGAGUGUGCACCAGACAAGGGUGCUCCUGUCCUGUCCUAAAAUGCUAUCCUUAUUCAACUGAAAAAGCUUCAGCAAUUGUCAGCUGAUUAAGACCAGCUCUGGGGUUCAGACAUUAAGCGGUUCCCUGACGUGUUCUUCUUUUGCUGUAUCGAUCACCUAAAAUCGCCCCCCACUGCGAGGAAGCGUGGGGAGUUCUGCUGAAGCAGCGGGUGGGCAAUGCGAGCAGGCCAGCCAGCGAGUCGUUCAUGUUGAGACGCGGACGCGUGCUACGGAGGCGGGGCUUUGCUGCAGAUGCGUUUCCCAGGCGGAACAGCUAAAGAAACAGUCCCGUCGACAAGGUGCUGACCUCUGAAAGGUGAGAGAGGCUGGGGGGGUUGGGUUCCCUGUGACGCAGGGGACUGAUCGGAACUUAAUACCGGGCAGUCAUCAGGUUUCUGCCUUCCUAGGGUGUCAUCAGCCUGGGACCGAAACUCCGCCAGUAUGAAGAAACCCCACCCUGAGUCUUCAUGCAAGAGCUUCUGUUUCUGUGGUUUAACCCUUGUUACUGGCAUGAACAGUUUCACUCUGAUUGGGUUUUUGCAUAAUUUUGCUGUGGGUCUUUAGUUUCUAUAAUGUGCAAUUAUAAGGGAAGGAACUGGAACAUCAAAAGGGAAACCCCAGCAUCAGGGAAACAGAGAAGGGAUCGCUGCGAGGCAGAAGAGGGCCUGGGAAACAGGGCGGUCAGCACAAUGUGUGUUUCUGUGCCUGUGCAUGUUGUGAGGAUGCCCAUGUAAACAUUGUACUAGAUCUCUGCUCCCUGUGUGCUUCCUGUGAGCCCUUUCUAUGUUUUGAAUGCAGGUUUUACCCUACAUUCAGACUGAUUAACCCCUCCCUGAUUUACGUGAAAGGGAUGCGAUGACACCAGGCAUUAUUAGAGAGCACUUACUAAGAGACUGAUGACUGUGUAAUCCUGAUGAGGACACUGGUGUGAGUCUGUGUCACCGGGUUGUGGUCAGUUCAGUGAGCUGAAACCUGACGCCACACAUGACGAAGCAAGUGGACACUGAGGUCUCACACGGCAGCUCCUCGUGCUUGAGCCCCUCUGACCAGACACAAGCAUCGUAUUUUGGUACCGUCCAGCCCGUGUGUCCAGACUGGACACCAUAACGUCAUGCAGGAGGAGCUCGGCUGCUGCUCAGGGGCAGAAUGAGGGGGUGUAGGUGUGGAAAUGUAACCCCCUUGAAACCUGGAUGCUGUAGAAUUCUCCUGAGAUGGACCAUGAGAAUAUAAGCAAGGUUACAAAGGGAAGGAGACUGUUUGCCCUAGCUAUGCCUUUCUUUUUGUAGUCGGUAGGAACUGAUGAUAGGAUUUCAACCAGCCAUUUUUUUUGGAGAAAAUUCAGAGUAUCGGCAUUUUGAGGGGGCUUGUUCAAUACUCCCACCACCCUUGGUGUAAACAGUGUCUCGUGUCUGCACCGCAGGAUGUACUGUGGGGUUGACGCUGGGAUUGUCACUGCAGGGGCACUGGAUUCUGACAACUUGUGGACCUUGUAAAAGAGAAAAAACGUGAGAAAUUCCUGCUAGAAAAAUGCUCUCAAGCCUCACUGAGAAAGAAUGUGGAGUCGCCUGGCAGGUUCCAGCCCUGGAAUCAGGACUUGCUUACACUGAGGGAGGGGGGUGGUGAUUUAUAUUCCAUGUAUGCGAUAAAUACACACACGCAGUGUGCCAGUAUAUGAACAUAAGAAAGCCCAAACACUGUGAAGCACUUGGCUCACCAUUUCCACCUCUGACAUUAGCUUCUCAGUUCAUUUGUCAUAUGCACAAGUGCUAUAUGCAAAUGAUUGAUGUUGGAGACAAAUCUAGAAAAACAUCCAAUGAAAAUAACUUCCGCAGUAAAGCUGAGGUCUUUGCAUUCUUUAGACAUUAAGCUUUUUAUAUAUAUCUGCCAAAGGACUCCCAGGUCACAUCCUAGUCAGAAAGCAGCUGCAUGAAGUGAGAUUUGCAGCUGUAAAGCAUGCAGCACGACCGUAAAUUUCAGAUUCUGCACUGUCCACACCGGGCAAAUUAAUUCACUAAAGGCUGCACAUGAAUCAAGGACACAAAAAAACAACAACAUUGUGGCAUGUAUCCAAGUUAAAUAAUAAUCAUCAAUAUCAUCAUAACAGCUGUAGCCAGUCAGGGAAUACAGCACAUGUACGAAUGAAAAGCUUCAGAGAAACCUGACAGGCAGGGAGCUCUAGAGGCAGAAGGCUCAGAAAAGCCAUUCAGGCUGUAUGUGUUUUCCCUGUGCUCAUGUGGGUUUGCAUCUGGGGGCUCUGGUUGUCUCCCACAGCCCAAUGACAUACAGGUAGGUUAACUGGCUUCUGUGAAAACUGGCCCUGGUGUGAGUGAGUGUGUGGUUUACUGGGAUGGACUGGUGUAUCCUGCCUUGACCAGGGGUAAGCUCCAGCCGCCCCCAACUGUGAUCCGGUAUUGGAUAAGGGGGUUAGAAAAUAGUUGGAUGGACAGUCUUACACAUGGAGCAGCAGGUGCUGAGCACAGCCUUAGGCACUUUGCUAAAUGUUUUGAGACUGAGCAGUGAUACCCUAAUGAGACUGAGCAGUGAUACCCUAACUGCCUUUUAAGAAAUGGGUGCUCAGGGGGAAAACAAAGACUCCAGACAUUAGAGCGCAUUUCUUUUAGAAUAUGUUGUAUGAGCACACAGAGACACGUUAAUGGAUGUCCAAACACGUCGUAACGACAAGUCAGUUAUGAAUGAACAGCGCCCAGCAAAAUCCAGCAUCCGGUACACAGGCCGGGCACGCACAAACGCGUUCGCUCUCACGGCACAAAUCUAAGAACAGACUCGUUGAUCCUCUGGUUGUAUUUGUAUUUGUAAAUUUUCAUACAUUUAAUAAAAAUUAUGGCCCUCGGGGAAUCAGACUGGUAGGCGAUCGAAACUUUGGCAAGGACGAAAAACCGCCGCAAAAGCAGCAGAGAGAAUAGGCGUGAAGAUGUCGCAUUGAAAGUAAAGCAACGUUUCAAUAGGCAUCGCUCUUUGUUCCAGCAGGGCACGGACGAGAGGUAGCAGCCGUGCUGGAGACGAAAGCGCGCAGUCGGGGAACAAGAGAGGCGCGGAAGGGCCGCUAUAAUCAUGACCUCCGUUCGCACAGGGAAUAUGAGCGCCUUCUAUCUGGGCGUCGAUUUAGACUAAACAGAUUCGAGUGCAAGGCAACUCAGUUAUCUUUUAUUCCCAGAGCUAUUAACCUGCUUCAUUCAAACAAUCGAUGGCAUAUUUUACUUUAUUUUUUGUUUUUAAUCUCAUUCUUUUUCUCAUCUUUCCCUCUUUCUCUUACUUGUGAAUUUAU